UACGAAGGGGGCUAGCGUUGCUCGGAAUCACUGGGCGUAAAGCGCACGUAGGCGGACUCUUAAGUCGGGGGGUGAAAUCCUGGAGCUCAACUCCAGAACUGCCUUCGAUACUGAGAGUCUUCGAGUUCGGGAGAGGUGAGUGGAACUGCGAGUGUAGAGGUGAAAUUCGUAGAUAUCAGGAAGAACACCCGUGGCGAAAGCGGCUCUCUGGAACGGUACUGACGCUGAGACGCGAAAGCGUGGGGGAGCGAACAGG
rnacentral:rRNA from 1 species